rnacentral:rRNA from 1 species
UACGAAGGGGGCAAGCGUUGCUCGGAAUCACUGGGCGUAAAGGGCGCGUAGGCGGGAUGGCAAGUCAGUCGUGAAAUCUCUCGGCUCAACCGAGAAACGUCGGCUGAUACUGCCGUUCUUGAGGGAUGCAGAGGAGACUGGAAUUCCCGGUGUAGCGGUGAAAUGUGUAGAGAUCGGGAGGAACACCGGUGGCGAAGGCGGGUCUCUGGGCAUCUCCUGACGCUGAGGCGCGAAAGCGUGGGGAGCAAACGGG